AUGGCAGAGGAGAGUGGAAAUUCCGAGUGUAGCGGUAAAAUGCAUAGAUAUUCGGAAGAACACCAGUGGCGAAGGCGGCUCUCUGGGCCAUUUCUGACGCUCAGACGCGAAAGCUAGGGUAGCAAACGGGAUUAGAGACCCCGGUAGUCCUAGCCGUAAACGAUGUGAACUUGGCGUUGGUGGGUUCAAAUCCAUCAGUGCCGUAGCAAACGCGAUAAGUUCACCACCUGGGGACUACGGCCGCAAGGUUAAAACUCGAAGGAAUUGACGGGGGCCCGCACAAGCAGCGGAGCGUGUGGUUUAAUUCGAUGUUACACGAAGAACCUUACCAGGGUUUGACAUGCAAGUGGUAGAGAAGCGAAAGCGGAUCGACCCUUCGGGGAGCUUGCACAGGUGUUGCAUGGCUGUCGUCAGCUCGUGUCGUGAGAUGUUCGGUUAAGUCCGCUAACGAGCGCAACCCACGUCGCGUGUUACAAGUGUCACGCGAUACUGCCGGUCUUAAGCCGGAGGAAGGUGUGGAUGACGUCAAGUCAGCAUGACCUUUAUGUCCUGGGCUACACACACGCUACAAUGGCCAGUACAACGGGUAGCGAAGCCGCAAGGCGGAGCCAAUCCACAAAGCUGGUCUCAGUUCAGAUUACAGGCUGCAACCCGCCUGUAUGAAGCUGGAGUUGCUAGUAACCGCAGGUCAGCUAUACUGCGGUGAAUACGUUCCCGGGCCUUGUACACACCGCCCGUCACGUCAUGGGAGCUGGUAACACCUGAAGCUGGUAUCCUAACCGCAAGGAGGGAGCCAUCGAGGGUGGGACUGGUGACUGGGACGAAGUCGUAACAAGGUA
rnacentral:rRNA from 1 species